rnacentral:rRNA from 1 species
UACGUAGGUGGCAAGCGUUGUCCGGAAUUAUUGGGCGUAAAGCGCGCGCAGGCGGUUCUUUAAGUCUGAUGUGAAAGCCCACGGCUCAACCGUGGAGGGUCAUUGGAAACUGGGGAACUUGAGUACAGAAGAGGAAAGCGGAAUUCCACGUGUAGCGGUGAAAUGCGUAGAGAUGUGGAGGAACACCAGUGGCGUAGGCGGCUUUCUGGUCUGUAACUGACGCUGAGGCGCGAAAGCGUGGGGAGCAAACAGG